UGCACAGUAGAUCUCCUACACACACACACUACAUUCCUUGUCAGCAAACACAUACAACAUUCUCUAAACACACUCUCUCUGCAAUCCCUACACACACUACGUCACCUAUACACACACACUCGCUGCAUCCCCUAUAAAACUAUGCCCCCUAUACACACACUCUCUACAGCCCCUAGCCACACAUAUUACACCACAAACACAAAUUAUAUUGACCUAUUUAUACAAUACCACACCAC